rnacentral:rRNA from 1 species
GAUGAACGCUGGCGGCGUGCCUAAUACAUGCAAGUCGAGCGAACAGAUGAGGAGCUUGCUCCUCUGACGUUAGCGGCGGACGGGUGAGUAACACGUGGAUAACCUACCUAUAAGACUGGGAUAACUUCGGGAAACCGGAGCUAAUACCGGAUAAUAUAUUGAACCGCAUGGUUCAAUAGUGAAAGACGGUUUUGCUGUCACUUAUAGAUGGAUCCGCGCCGCAUUAGCUAGUUGGUAAGGUAACGGCUUACCAAGGCAACGAUGCGUAGCCGACCUGAGAGGGUGAUCGGCCACCCUGGAACUGAGACACGGUCCAGACUCCUACGGGAGGCACCAGUAGGGAAUCUUCCGCAAAGGGCGAAAGCCUGACGGAGCAACGCCGCGUGAGUUAUGAAGGUCUUCGGAUCGUAAAACUCUGUUAUUAGGGAAGAACCAAUGUGUAAGUAACUAUGCACGUCUUGACGGUACCUAAUCAGAAAGCCCCGGCUAACUACGUG